GCGGCGCACGCUGCCAGCACUUCCCCCAAAAAAACAACCACCCAAGCGCACACUCCACUUAAUUCCGUCUACGCAAUCGUGUGCGCGCACACACACAAACACACAUCAAUCACCAGGGAAACACCACCCAGCAGAUAGCUUAUCUUUAAAAUAGCAUGCCCGCUGAUAUAAACAGAGCACAGGCAGUUGCAACAUUUCUGUGUCAGCCCUGCCAGUUCUCCGUGACCGAAUCUCGGAACGGCGGCUUCUCUCUCUCUCUCCCCUCAGGACCUAUUCCUCCUUCCUACACGGCCCAAGAGUACAAGGAACACAGUUCCCAAAAAUCCAACAGCCUCUCUUUUCAUCCCCCUUCUCCAUCCCAAGAGGCUUUUCUCUUCUGUUUACCUCACGGCUAUGAGGUUUUGGCGGGAAACAGUUGAAGAAUGGGGGGGGGAGAAGACUGUGCCUUUAAUGUUUUCUCUCCCCCCUCCUCCAUUUGGAGACGUUGCCACACACAGGACACUCAAACGCCCCCUCCCCUAACGAUGGGGCCAAGAACCCCUUUUUAAAAGCCUAGCACCUUGAAGCCAAGGAGCAGAGAAGCACAUCCAUCUGGCUCUUGGGGUGGGGAGGACUUUCUUGAGCCUUUCUGAAAAUUCCCUUCCAAAUAUUCGCUCGCAGCAAGGCCUAGCCAAAUCUGUCCAGAACACCAAACGGUGCUGCCUUCCCUCAGAGGACACUCCGUCUCUCUUUCUUUCUCAGGUCCCAGCCCCUCUCUCCCAGAAAGCCCCCCAUCACCUCCUCCUGGUGCCCCCGGUGCCUUUUCACAGCUCUGCCAUCCCAGCUCAGCGUGCCUUACGCUCUCCGGCUCAAAUGGCUUCCUGGCGAUUUGCAUAGUUGAGCCGUAAACCAGCCACGGCAUUCCUGUUAUGAUUUUGCAAUCUACUGGAAUAACACGGUCGCUCUCAGUCGAGCCGAUGAGUCAUGAGCUAUAAAACCACAGCCCUCGUCACUGGGAGCUCUGUGUUGGCUGCAGCCUGAGCCCAGCUGACUUUGGGACCAGUGGCUUUCAAGCCUUCUUCUCACAUAUAUGGGCAAAAACAUGGACCACAAACAAGAUGCUAAAUUCCUCAACAGCCUUGUCACACCACUUGAAUAUGUUUCACAUCUCCUUGGGCAGUGAAAUAAUAUUAGAAUCCAGGGUCAUCCAAUAAGGCUGCAUGUUGGCGGCUCAGGACAUGUAAGAGGUCAGCAAACACCUGUCUUUUCCCCCAGGCCUUCUAACAACUCAAACAUCUUGUAUUAGCUGGUAACUGAUUCCAGAGGACUGGAGCUGCAACACCAAACGCCCAAUUUUCAGUGCAUACUACAUAACCUCUGAGGCAUGCAGUAUUCUCAGCAGUGCCCCAUCUGAGGAAUGGAGUGUAUCCUCAUCACAGCAACAACGGGGGACCUGCAGAAACAUCCCCAGCUAGUGCUCCAGACAAUCUGAAACAAAAGCCUUGUAGUGAUGUCCUGAACUGAAAGAAAAAAAAACUGGAGGGGAGGGACGUUUCAGAAGAUGGGAAAGGAAAAUCGUGCUAGUUUUUCUCUCCUUCCCUUCUGAAAUCUCCCUGUAUAGUGUGAGGAGAACAGAUGAAAGCACUGCAUAAAUGCCACGUUGCUGACAUGGUUUGUUGUUAUUUCUUCUUAUACCAAAUUUCUUAAAAUGCCAACCUCUUAAGAUGUGGUGCCACUCAAAAAUAAGGUUGUGGUUUACAUACACAUAAGGGGCUUUACAGGUGUGCGGAAGUAUACUUUGAAAAUUAAAGAUGAAAAUAAUGUUUUUAAAAGGCCCAAAACAACCUGUGGGUGAGCUUCCAGGACCAAGAGAAUGUUGAAGGUAGCUGAGCCAUGGAAUGUAGAAGGCAUCAGUUGGGAAGUGGGGAAGGGAACUGGGCUGUUUGAGCUCCAAGCCACUUAUUGCAAGGAUGGGGAACUUGUGGCCCUCUAAGAUGUGGUUCAACUCCCAUUGGCAAUAGUCAGCAUAGCCAGUAGUUAGGGAUGAGAAGGGAACUGUAGUCCAGAAACAUCUGAAGGACCAGAGGAUUCCCAUCCCUGGCUUAUAUCCCUGGAGGGAGGGUGCACUGCAUUAGGUUAAAAAACCCCCACUAUUCAUUAAUCCCUUACAACAACCCUAUAAGGUAGGUCAGUAUCAUGGUUCCCACAUUGCAGGUGAAGGGCUGAGAUGGAGAUAAGCAGCUUUCUGAAGGCUAACCCAUGAGUUCAUAGCAGAAGUGCGAUUUGAACUGGGAUCUUCCUGACAACUUUAUUCACUAGCACUUAUAUAUCAAUUGUGCUUUCAAAUCCCCUCUCUUUUGAAAACAUUUUAUUGUCAUUUCCAACUAUGCACAGCUAUAGAAGGUUAUAGUGCUAAGGAAAGUAUGGUCUGGGAUCUCCUUUGGUGUUAUAGUAUUGCAGUACUGUUUCCAAUAUGCAGCAAAUGUCAACAAGUGGCUAUUAAG